rnacentral:rRNA from 1 species
UACGGGGGGGGCAAGCGUUGUUCGGAAUUACUGGGCGUAAAGGGCGCGUAGGCGGUCGUGACAAGUCACUUGUGAAAUCUCCGGGCUUAACUCGGAACGGUCAAGUGAUACUGUCGGACUAGAGUACAGAAGGGGCAACUGGAAUUCUCGGUGUAGCGGUGAAAUGCGUAGAUAUCGAGAGGAACACCUGCGGCGAAGGCGGGUUGCUGGGCUGAUACUGACGCUGAGGCGCGAAAGCUAGGGGAGCAAACGGG